UACGUAGGGGGCAAGCGUUGUCCGGAAUCAUUGGGCGUAAAGAGCGUGUAGGCGGCUCGGUAAGUCCGCUGUAAAAGUCCAGGGCUCAACCCUGGAAAGCCGGUGGAAACUGUCGAGCUAGAGUCCAGAAGAGGCGAGUGGAAUUCCUGGUGUAGCGGUGAAAUGCGCAGAUAUCAGGAGGAACACCAAUGGCGAAGGCAGCUCGCUGGGACGGUACUGACGCUGAGACGCGAAAGCGUGGGGAGCAAACAGG
rnacentral:rRNA from 1 species